GACGAACGCUGGCGGCGUGCUUAACACAUGCAAGUCGAACGGAAAGGCCCUUCGGGGUACUCGAGUGGCGAACGGGUGAGUAACACGUGGGUGAUCUGCCCUGCACUUUGGGAUAAGCCUGGGAAACUGGGUCUAAUACCGAAUAUGACCAUGCACUUCCUGGUGUGUGGUGGAAAGCUUUUGCGGUGUGGGAUGGGCCCGCGGCCUAUCAGCUUGUUGGUGGGGUAAUGGCCUACCAAGGCGACGACGGGUAGCCGGCCUGAGAGGGUGACCGGCCACACUGGGACUGAGAUACGGCCCAGACUCCUACGGGAGGCAGCAGUGGGGAAUAUUGCACAAUGGGCGCAAGCCUGAUGCAGCGACGCCGCGUGAGGGAUGACGGCCUUCGGGUUGUAACCUCUUUCAGCACAGACGAAGCGCAAGUGACGGUAUGUGCAGAAGAAGACCGGGCCAACUACGUAGCC
rnacentral:rRNA from 1 species